GACAGCAACUGUUCAAACAGGCUGGCAAGCAAGCGUGUUUUCCAAAAGUCGAGCAACAAAAGCGCAAACAUGGCACAAAGUGAAAAAUCUGAAGCUAAGCAUCCAUAGUAGAAAACAAAACCAAUUUUAAGCUUUACUAACACAAUAAAAUGAUCUCAACCAAAAACAACGUCCACACAAACAAAAACAAAAUUCCAUCUUUCAAAUAAACCAACUCUAGUUUCAAAUUUUAGCUUCCAAUCUAAUAAUAUAAUGUUCGAAAAGCAGCAAACACGAAGAUAAUGAGAAGAUACAUGCCUUUUCAGAUUCCAGUGAAGACAGAGACGGUGGUGUGCGGUGGAAGUUGGGACGUUACAAAGCAAAGGCUAGUGCAUCAACCAUGACACUGCAUCAGAAACAGAAAGGCAGCAACAACAACAAAACAGAGCCAAAGCAGGCUGGCUUAAUUUGGUUUGGUUUAAAAUUCAUUGUAAUUUAAUUUGAUUUUAGAAUUGUAAUUAGAUUUGACAUUGUAAAUUUAUGAGACAUAAUGAAAUUAUUUAUUGUAAUUA